UACGUAGGGUGCAAGCGUUGUCCGGAAUUAUUGGGCGUAAAGAGCUCGUAGGCGGCCAGGUAGGUCGGUUGUGAAAACUGGAGGCUCAACCUUCAGAGGUCGACCGAAACCAUCUGGCUAGAGUCCGGAAGAGGAGAGUGGAAUUCCUGGUGUAGCGGUGAAAUGCGCAGAUAUCAGGAGGAACACCAACGGCGAAGGCAGCUCUCUGGGACGUUACUGACGCUGAGACGCGAAAAGCGUGGGGGAGCAAACAGG
rnacentral:rRNA from 1 species